AAAAUGUCUCGUAUGGAUGGAAGCUGGCUGCCUGGAAGAGCUCAGAGCCAUUGAGAUAGUAAAUCCCUCACAGAUAAGAUGUCUUAACACCGCUGGUCCCUCACGACAGACCCUUCUCUGCUGAAGACUGGAAGGUAGCCCUGCGGAACAGACCAGGAAAUUACUUUUAAGUCACUUGACAGAUGAAGAUGUCUGAAGCCAGAGAAGAGAUCCUGACAAAUGGGAUCCAGACCGUGUGGCCACAGCUGCACGCUCUUUCCCUGUUGCAGGCUGCCUUCAAGAAGCCACAGGAACACUCCUGACUUCUGGAGGCAGGACAGCCCGUCCUCUGCAGGGUGACCCUCCUGGGGUCUCGAGACGCCGACAUCCUUCUGAAGUAUCUGGUCCUCUCUCCCGUGGGGCCGCCGGCUCUCGGGGCUCUGUGACAGCUCAGUUCUCCAGCAAAGGACCUAGUGCAGAAAGCGAAGCUUGUCAACAGCUUCCAACCCAGAGAGAAAAAGAAAAUAACCCAUCCUUGCCCAUCCCUGGUCCUCGUCCGAGGGGCUCCCGCUGACCACCUGGUUGGGGCCCACUCGGCCCCUCCCGCUCUGCUCUUUCCACUCAGGGCCCAUACACGUGUGUGUGCGUGUGUGAUUGCACACUUGUACACACAGAUCUGUGACCUCCACAUCCCAGUCACCAUGCACUUCCUUCCCCCCAUUGAGGGACCUGUGCAAAUUCUGAUUAAAGCAGGAAGCCCACCGGCCCAGCCGCCCAGACAAGAGUUUCUAUUUUUACUCAACUUUGUUUUCAGAUCGGAUCCUAGAAUCCACUUCAACUUCAAACCUGCGUCCCUCAGGUCCCAUAAGGAAGGCUCAGAGCAGUUGUCAAGCAUGGGUUAUGGAAUUAGAAUAGCAAGUUAAAACGUAAAAUAUCUCAGUUUAAAUUUCAGAUGUGUGUGUGUGUUCAUAUGUGUGUAUGUGGGUGUAUACAUAAAG